rnacentral:rRNA from 1 species
GACGAACCGUGCAAACGUUGUUCGGAAUCACUGGGCUUAAAGGGCGCGUAGGCGGGCAAGCAAGUCGAAGGUGAAAUCCCACGGCUCAACCGUGGAAGUGCCCCCGAUACUGCUUGUCUUGAGGGAGAUAGGGGCGUGCGGAACUUCCGGUGGAGCGGUGAAAUGCGUAGAUAUCGGAAGGAACACCGGUGGCGAAAGCGGCGCGCUGGAUCUAUUCUGACGCUGAGGCGCGAAAGCCAGGGGAGCAAACGGG